UAAUUAACGGCAAUGGAUGGUUCCCUCGCACCGAAGCGGCGCGGGGGAGUAAAUGGGAAUGUGACGGGCGGACCCACACCGGGCGCCCUUAUCGCAGCCGACCCCGCGACUGUAGAACGGUCAGGGUUCGCCAUCGGGCAUGCGCUUCCCUUCCGAUGAAACUGCAUGGGGCAGUUUUUGCGGGAUUGGGAGAGCAAGUCGGAAAAGCCACUGGCGUGGCAUCGUGAAUAGCCGGGCUGGACGCCUCUUCUUCUACGAAUCGUCCGCCGUCACGAGCCAGCAACGCCGGGAAGGCGAGACGGACCCGUUCGGGCUCAAUGUCGAUGCGCACCGCAUGCGCAGCGCUUUGCCCGUGACGCCGAGAGCCAGGAGACCUGCCGUCCAUCAGGGCAUCGC
rnacentral:ncRNA from 1 species